rnacentral:rRNA from 1 species
UACGUAGGGUGCAAGCGUUAAUCGGAAUUACUGGGCGUAAAGCGUGCGCAGGCGGUGAUGUAAGACAGAUGUGAAAUCCCCGGGCUCAACCUGGGAACUGCAUUUGUGACUGCAUCGCUGGAGUACGGCAGAGGGGGAUGGAAUUCCGCGUGUAGCAGUGAAAUGCGUAGAUAUGCGGAGGAACACCGAUGGCGAAGGCAACCCCCUGGGCCUGUACUGACGCUCAUGCACGAAAGCGUGGGGAGCAAACAGG